rnacentral:tRNA from 1 species
CUACAUGGUGCAAAGUGUUUGCACUAGACUGCUAACCUAAAGGUUGGUGGUUCAAACCCACCCAGCUGGA